CACUCCUGCGGGAGGCAGCAGUGGGGAAUUUUGGACAAUGGGCGAAAGCCUGAUCCAGCAAUGCCGCGUGAGUGAAGAAGGCCUUCGGGUUGUAAAGCUCUUUUGUCAGGGAAGAAACGGUGAGAGCUAAUAUCUUUUGCUAAUGACGGUACCUGAAGAAUAAGCACCGGCUAACUACGUGCCAGCAGCCGCGGUAAUACGUAGGGUGCAAGCGUUAAUCGGAAUUACUGGGCGUAAAGCGUGCGCAGGCGGUUUUGUAAGUCUGAUGUGAAAUCCCCGGGCUCAACCUGGGAAUUGCAUUGGAGACUGCAAGGCUAGAAUCUGGCAGAGGGGGGUAGAAUUCCACGUGUAGCAGUGAAAUGCGUAGAUAUGUGGAGGAACACCGAUGGCGAAGGCAGCCCCCUGGGUCAAGAUUGACGCUCAUGCACGAAAGCGUGGGGAGCAAACAGGAUUAGAAACCCGUGUAGUCCCAUG
rnacentral:rRNA from 1 species